AAUUCUCAAAACCCCUUCCUUUGCCGGAAUGGAUUUUGGACUUGGAGGCCUUUUGCUGGUUUCACCUUGAAGCCGGCUCCUCUUAAAUGGAUUAGUGGGGUCUGCUUUGCCGAUCCUUGACGUGAUAAGAUGCUUCUACGUCUCGGGUUUCGGCACUGUGCCUCUGCUUCUAACCGUCUCUUUGACAAUGAUGGUGUUCCGGUCACUGCCGAUUCCUCGGUGGGAGGCUUGACCCACAAAAUGA
rnacentral:misc_RNA from 1 species